rnacentral:rRNA from 1 species
UGGGGAAUUUUGGACAAUGGGGGCAACCCUGAUCCAGCCAUUCCGCGUGAGUGAAGAAGGCCUUCGGGUUGUAAAGCUCUUUCAGCAGGAACGAAACGGUCGGCUUUAAUAAAGUCGGCUAAUGACGGUACCUGCAGAAGAAGCACCGGCUAACUACGUGCCAGCAGCCGCGGUAAUACGUAGGGUGCGAGCGUUAAUCGGAAUUACUGGGCGUAAAGUGUGCGCAGGCGGCUUCGCAAGUCGAGUGUGAAAUCCCCGGGCUUAACUUGGGAACGGCGCUCGAAACUACGGAGCUAGAGUAUGGCAGAGGGAGGUGGAAUUCCACGUGUAGCGGUGAAAUGCGUAGAUAUCGGGAGGAACACCUGUGGCGAAGGCGGCCACCUGGUUGGAUACUGACGCUGAGACGCGAAAGCGUGGGGAGCAAACAGGAUUAGAUACCCAAGUAGUCCCUGAGCGGGCUGGCAAGGCGCAU